UACGUAGGGGGCAAGCGUUGUCCGGAAUCAUUGGGCGUAAAGGGCGCGUAGGCGGCCCGCUAAGUCGAACGUGAAAUCCCCGAGCUCAACUCGGGAACUGCGUCCGAUACUGGCGGGCUUGAAUCCGGGAGAGGGAUGCGGAAUUCCAGGUGUAGCGGUGAAAUGCGUAGAUAUCUGGAGGAACACCGGUGGCGAAGGCGGGUCUCUGGGCCGAUACUGACGCUGAGGAGCGAAAGCGUGGGAGCGAACAGG
rnacentral:rRNA from 1 species